rfam:Gossypium hirsutum cultivar TM-1 unplaced genomic scaffold scaffold559.1, whole genome shotgun sequence
UAUUAAAAAUUUUAUCCAUUUCUACUAUUAAAAACUGGCAUGACCAUCAAAAUAACCAAACAGUGACACAUGGCGUGCCACAUGUGUCUCAUAUAGGGACCAAUUUUUAUUAGUAGAAAUGGAAGAAAUUUUUAACA